ACGGCCUUACCUGAACAGCAUCUGCUCUAUUGGCUCAUACUACUAUAUCCUUGAGUUCUGAGGAAACAUGAAAGUAGGACACCAAUCUGGUUGAUGAAGCAUGGUCAUGUGACUAGAGUGUGAUUCACAGCCUCCUUCCAUGGCUCCUAGUUGUGUGGGGCAGUAGUAGAUGAUCGUUCUUAGACCUCUCAGGUCUUAGAUGGUCUCAUGGCUGUUUGACAGACU